rnacentral:rRNA from 1 species
UGGCGGCGUGCUUAACACAUGCAAGUCGAGCGAUGAAGCUUCCUUCGGGAAGUGGAUUAGCGGCGGACGGGUGAGUAACACGUGGGUAACCUGCCUCAAAGUGGGGGAUAGCAUUCUGAAAGGAAGAUUAAUACCGCAUAAUAUGAGAGAAUUGCAUGAUUUUUUUAUCAAAGAUUUAUUGCUUUGAGAUGGACCCGCGGCGCAUUAGAUAGUUGGUAAGGUAACGGCUCACCAGGGCAAGGUUGGGUAGCCGACCUGAGAGACUGAUCCGCCACUCUGGAAGUGAGACACGGUCCAGAAUCUUACGCGAGGCAGCAGUGUGGAAUAUUGCGCAAUGGGGGAAACCAUGACGCUGCAACGCUGCGUGGGUGAUGAAGGUCUUCAGGUACUAAAGCCCUGUUUUAUGGGACGACAAUGACGGUACCAGAGGAGGAAGCCACGGCUAACUACGUGCCAGCAGCCGCGGUAAUACGUAGGUGGCGAGCGUUGUCCGGAUUUACUGGGCGUAAAGCGUGCGCAGGCGGACGUUUAAGUGGGAUGUGAAAUCCCCGGGCUCAACCUGGGGGCUGCAUUCCAAACUGGAUAUCUAGAGUGCAGGAGAGGAAAGCGGAAUUCCUAGUGUAGCGGUGAAAUGCGUAGAGAUUAGGAAGAACACCAGUGGCGAAGGCGGCUUUCUGGACUGUAACUGACGCUGAGGCACGAAAGCGUGGGUAGCAAACAGGAUUAGAUACCCUGGUAGUCCACGCCGUAAACGAUGGAAUAGCUAGAGUGUAGGGGGUAUCAACUCCCCCCCUGUGCCGCCAGUUAACAC